CAGCCGCCACGGUAAAACGUAGGUCCCGAGCGUUGUCCGGAUUUAUUGGGCGUAAAGCGAGCGCAGGCGGUUAGAUAAGUCUGAAGUUAAAGGCUGUGGCUUAACCAUAGUACGCUUUGGAAACUGUUUAACUUGAGUGCAAGAGGGGAGAGUGGAAUUCCAUGUGUAGCGGUGAAAUGCGUAGAUAUAUGGAGGAACACCGGUGGCGAAAGCGGCUCUCUGGCUUGUAACUGACGCUGAGGCUUGAAAGCGUGGGGCGCAAACAGGAUUAGAUACCCCAGUAGUCCCUGUCUCUUAUACA
rnacentral:rRNA from 1 species